rnacentral:rRNA from 1 species
ACCCGAUGCAAACUGCGAAUACCGGAGAAUGUUAUCACGGGAGACACACGGCGGGUGCUAACGUCCGUCGUGAAGAGGGAAACAACCCAGACCGCCAGCUAAGGUCCCAAAGUCAUGGUUAAGUGGGAAACGAUGUGGGAAGGCCCAGACAGCCAGGAUGUUGGCUUAGAAGCAGCCAUCAUUUAAAGAAAGCGUAAUAGCUCACUGGUCGAGUCGGCCUGCGCGGAAGAUGUAACGGGGCUAAACCAUGCACCGAAGCUGCGGCAGCGACGCUUAUGCGUUGUUGGGUAGGGGAGCGUUCUGUAAGCCUGCGAAGGUGUGCUGUGAGGCAUGCUGGAGGUAUCAGAAGUGCGAAUGCUGACAUAAGUAACGAUAAAGCGGGUGAAAAGCCCGCUCGCCGGAAGACCAAGGGUUCCUGUCCAACGUUAAUCGGGGCAGGGUGAGUCGACCCCUAAGGCGAGGCCGAAAGGCGUAGUCGAUGGGAAACAGGUUAAUAUUCCUGUACUUGGUGUUACUGCGAAGGGGGGACGGAGAAGGCUAUGUUGGCCGGGCGACGGUUGUCCCGGUUUAAGCGUGUAGGCUGGUUUUCCAGGCAAAUCCGGAAAAUCAAGGCUGAGGCGUGAUGACGAGGCACUACGGUGCUGAAGCAACAAAUGCCCUGCUUCCAGGAAAAGCCUCUAAGCAUCAGGUAACAUCAAAUCGUACCCCAAACCGACACAGGUGGUCAGGUAGAGAAUACCAAGGCGCUUGAGAGAACUCGGGUGAAGGAACUAGGCAAAAUGGUGCCGUAACUUCGGGAGAAGGCACGCUGAUAUGUAGGUGAAGUCCCUUGCGGAUGGAGCUGAAAUCAGUCGAAGAUACCAGCUGGCUGCAACUGUUUAUUAAAAACACAGCACUGUGCAAACACGAAAGUGGACGUAUACGGUGUGACGCCUGCCCGGUGCCGGAAGGUUAAUUGAUGGGGUCAGCGCAAGCGAAGCUCUUGAUCGAAGCCCCGGUAAACGGCGGCCGUAACUAUAACGGUCCUAAGGUAGCGAAAUUCCUUGUCGGGUAAGUUCCGACCUGCACGAAUGGCGUAAUGAUGGCCAGGCUGUCUCCACCCGAGACUCAGUGAAAUUGAACUCGCUGUGAAGAUGCAGUGUACCCGCGGCAAGACGGAAAGACCCCGUGAACCUUUACUAUAGCUUGACACUGAACAUUGAGCCUUGAUGUGUAGGAUAGGUGGGAGGCUUUGAAGUGUGGACGCCAGUCUGCAUGGAGCCGGCCUUGAAAUACCACCCUUUAAUGUUUGAUGUUCUAACGUGGACCCGUGAUCCGGGUUGCGGACAGUGUCUGGUGGGUAGUUUGACUGGGGCGGUCUCCUCCUAAAGAGUAACGGAGGAGCACGAAGGUUGGCUAAUCCUGGUCGGACAUCAGGAGGUUAGUGCAAUGGCAUAAGCCAGCUUGACUGCGAGCGUGACGGCGCGAGCAGGUGCGAAAGCAGGUCAUAGUGAUCCGGUGGUUCUGAAUGGAAGGGCCAUCGCUCAACGGAUAAAAGGUACUCCGGGGAUAACAGGCUGAUACCGCCCAAGAGUUCAUAUCGACGGCGGUGUUUGGCACCUCGAUGUCGGCUCAUCACAUCCUGGGGCUGAAGUAGGUCCCAAGGGUAUGGCUGUUCGCCAUUUAAAGUGGUACGCGAGCUGGGUUUAGAACGUCGUGAGACAGUUCGGUCCCUAUCUGCCGUGGGCGCUGGAGAACUGAGGGGGGCUGCUCCUAGUACGAGAGGACCGGAGUGGACGCAUCACUGGUGUUCGG